GGAAGGAUCAUUCACACGUGAUUAUCCACAUUAUGUGAAUCUUGGUGUCAAUCGAUAUCAAUUGUGGCCUGUCUUCUCAUCCCGCUUGCGAGACCUAGGGGACAGGUCAAAGCUGUAUGGGCCCCUCGCAGUCUAAAUUUCUGGAAGUGCUGGCUCCGACCAGUGUGGAUGGAAACUGUACGCAUAGAGGGCAUCCGUUAAGGAGAUAGGCUUGUAUGUGGUUAUGCCAUAAACAAGUAUUCUCUGGGUGUCGUAUACUGUGAACCCUGAUCUCGAUUGGGUGUAUCAGAAGUAUACUGGGGGCCGGUUUAAAAGGGAACAUUAUAACUAAACUUCUAAUACUAUCAGCGAUGGAUAUCUUGGCUCCCACAACGAUGAAGGACGCAGCAAAAUGUGAUAACCAUUGUGAAUUGCAGAAUUCAGUGAAUCAUCAGAAUGCUGAACGCAUACGGCUCUUGCUCUGCAAGAAUGUCUGUCUCAGAAUCAUUGUAAACUCAAACAUUAACUCACGUUAAUUUUGAGAUACGGACCAACUCCGGGGAACCGCGGUUGGUUUCUGUUCACCAUAUCUAUCUGCAUAGCAGCAAGUUAAACUUGAUUUCGCUGCGUGCAGAUGUUCGUGGUGUUUUCUUUGCUUGUGAUCUGAGAUCAGGCAAGGCUACCCGCUGAAUUUAAGCAUAUUAUUAAGCGGAGGAAAAGAAACUAACUAGGAUUCCCUUAGUAAUGGCGAAUGAACAGGGAUAAGCUCAAAAUGAAAAUCUGCAUCUUACGGUGCCGAAUUGUAGUCUCAAGAGAGUUUACCAGUCGAAGCGCAGGGAUAAGUCUCUAGGAAAAGAGCAGUAUAGAGGGUGACAAUCCCGUCUUUGCUCUGCAGCCUUUGACGUACGGUAUUCUUUCAACGAGUCGUGUUCCUUGGGAUUGGAGCGCUAAUUGGGUGGUAAAUUUCAUCUAAAGCUAAAUAUUGGUGGGAGACCGAUAGCAAACAAGUACCGUGAGGGAAAGAUGAAAAGAGCUUUGAAAAGAGAGUUGAAUAGUGCUUGAAAUUGCUGGUAGGGAAGCGAAUGUAGUUGUCUAAGCUUCAGGGAUUGUUGGUUACUAAAGCAGAAUUCCAGGUUGCACCGCAAGGGCAGCGCUGGGGGGAAGCCUACGUUUCUGGUGUCUCCUUGAAGCCGUGUCAGCAUCAGUUGCGAGCUCAUCAAAACUUCUAAAGAAGGUGACCCUCUCGGGGUGUUUUAGCUUUAGUAAGUUGAUGUUCUUGCUUCUGAGGAAUGCAGACGCAGCAUCAGUUGCGUCUUCAGAUGCUGACAAAACGACUAUAUCCGACCCGUCUUGAAACACGGACCAAGGAGUCUAACAUAUGUGCAAGUGUGCAGAUACAACAUCUGUACGCGCAAUGAAAGUAAUAGUUGGGACCCUUGGGCACCAACGACCGACCAUUCUCUCUGAGAGAGGUUUGAGUUUGAGCACAUCUGUUAGGACCCGAAAGAUGGUGAACUAUGCCUGAGUAGGGUGAAGCCAGGGGAAACCCUGGUGGAGGCUCGUAGCGAUACUGACGUGCAAAUCGUUCGUCAAACUUGGGUAUAGGGGCGAAAGACUAAUCGAACCAUCUAGUAGCUGGUUCCCUC
rnacentral:misc_RNA from 1 species